rnacentral:lncRNA from 1 species
GGGUUGUUCAGGGCCACGUGGAGCUCAUUGCGAAGACUGGAGUGGUGUCCAUCGUCAGGACUUGCUAGAGAGUAGUGGAGCUGCAUGAAAUCCGUUGCAGGGAGUGGAGCAGGAGGGUGGCUCUUGUCGCGACUUGUCAGAGAGUAGUGGAGCUGCAUGGAAUCCGUUGCAGGGAGUGGAGCAGGAGGACGGCUCUUGUCGUGACUCGUCAGAGAGUGGUGGAGCUGCAUGGAAUCCGUUGCAGGGAGUAGAGCAGGAGGGUGGCUCUUAUCAUGACUUGUCAGAGAGCUC